rnacentral:rRNA from 1 species
UACGUACGAGGCGAGCGUUAUCCGGAUUUACUGGGUUUAAAGGGUGCGCAGGCGGAUAUGUAAGUCAGUGGUGAAAUCUCUAGGCUUAACCUGGAAAUUGCCGUUGAUACUAUAUAUCUUGAAUGUUGUGGAGGUAAGCGGAAUAUGUCAUGUAGCGGUGAAAUGCUUAGAUAUGACAUAGAACACCAAUUGCGAAGGCAGCUUACUACACAAAUAUUGACGCUGAGGCACGAAAAGCGUGGGGGAUCAAACAGG